CUGAUGUCAAGGUCAGUCCUCUGUGAGGUCACUAUCUCAGCAACCAUGCUAAAGAAGAUCAAAACAGGAGGGAGAGACCACUUAUGCUCAUGGUUAUAUGUUGUCAUAAAUUUGUCUUCAUGUGAUGAUGUGACAUUUCAUCAUCUUUUCUGAGAGAACAUGAUUGUGGAGAGGAGUUGGGAAGAUGUUGGAAGCGCUUUCUGAUUUCCCCUGGAGCAAGGGAAAUGGUCUUCAUACAGCAAAACGGAGACUGACACAAGGGCUCCCAGCUUGGAUAAUUCCUCUCUUAUAAGGUGCCAAUGCUUCUCCAUCUACUGCUAUAAGUGAAUUUAUUGCUGGUGAAAGAUACCAUAUUGACAGUACUGGAAAUUAAAAUGCUGCAUUUAUCCUUUAAAAAAGCAGGCCUUUUGGAAAUCCCCCACAAGCUAUUACUUCAGGCAGCUAUGCCAGGAACUGAAGGAUGGGUCCCCAGAGGGCAAUGCCACUACAAUGGUGAAGUACAGCCAAGUAUGGAGAAGGGGCACAGCUUCACAAAGAACAGCACUGUUCGGAUGGAUACUUGCACCAGUGGUAUCCCAUUGGUUCUGUGCUCAAGGGGAUGCAACCAGUGCUUGCCUGAGUGUAGCUGAAUGAAGACCGUGUUCAUUUUUAAACGUAAUAGUUGGUACUGGAUUCACUCACAAAUUGAUUUUUUUUCAUACCUGAUCUUUUUUUAACAUAAACAAACAAACAAACAAGCCAAGAAAAUGUGUUCCCAUGGAGCCUCUCACACACAUUACUAGCCUCUAGCUAAUUUUCACAUUCCUGUUUUGACCUCCCAGGAAUAAUGGUUUAUAACUGCAAUGCUUCAAGACUUUUAGAUAGGCAGGUGGUAGCAAAUCCAACCCCUUCUCUGUCAUGCUCAGCCCUCUGCAUCAAUCUGAUAUAUCAUCUUCACCCAGGGUAUUUCUACACUGCAAUUAAUCCACCCGCAGUGGGCCUGUGUCAGCUGACUCAAGC